rnacentral:misc_RNA from 1 species
UAUAUAUAUAUAUAUGCGUUUUGUGUUAUAUUUCCUUCUAAUUAUAAUAAUACAUCAUUUUAGGCAUUUUAAUAAUCCUUAGAAGUAUUAUAAAACAUAAUUCUAUUAUAUCAAUCGCAAAAUCUUAUGAUUUAUGAUUUAUGUAUUAUACUAAUUACGAAUACUUUUGAAAUUUCGUACGCAUGAAAAUGGCUGAACAAGAUGGCGUAAUGAUCGUAUACUGCUUUACACUUUAUAUGAUAACCAAUCUUGGCUAUGUUAUUCUGUGUUAUAUUGUUGACAUUCAAGGAUAUAGUUAAAGGAUUAUUGGUUGGGAAAAGAAAUGUUAUACAUUGUACAUAGGAACGAAUAUACUGUAGAAAGAGAAAUAACAAUUGUUUUUGUUAAAUUAUAUAUAAUUUUAAAAAACUUAUUGUAAAUUAUUGCAUGUGAUGACUUUUGGCAAAUUGAUUAUAAAUGGAUGAUCUUGUAAAAUUUAACAUUAAAGAGGUUAAGUGUGAUUUGUUACCGGCUAUAAGUGAAUGCACUCAACGUGGUUUACUACAUACUACUAAAUGGCUGGCAGAAUUGAAUUAUUCAUUAAAAGAAGUCAAAGUAGAUUUACACGAUGUUACUACAGACGUUAGUGUGAUAGAAUCCAGUGAAGAAGAUGACACCUAUAUCUUAGCUAAAACUUAUUUUGAUUUAAAAGAAUACGAUAGAGCAGCAUAUUUUACUGAAAAAUGUACAACUCCAAAAGCAAGGUUUUUGUAUUUAUAUUCUCGCUACUUGUCAGGAGAGAAAAAGAAAAUAGAUGACAUGACGGAUAUACCACCAGACCCUAUGAAAAAUGAUUGUUUAAAAUUACUCUGUGCUGAUUUAAGGAAAGAUCAUUUGGCUGGUAAAUUAGAUGGCUUUUGUUUAUAUUUAUUUGGAGUUACUUUGAAAAAACUUCAGCUUAACAAAGAGGCAACCGAAGUCUUGAUUGAAUCCACUCACAAGCAGCCAAUGCACUGGGGUACUUGGUUAGAGUUAGCUGCGCUAAUCACUGAUAGAGAAAAGUUGGAAAGUUUACGUCUUCCAAAUCAUUGGAUUAAACAUUUCUUUAUGGCACACAUGUAUUUGGAGUUGCAACUUAUUGACGAGGGUUUAGCUAUGUAUUGCGAAUUACAAUCUAUGGGUUUUGAAAAAAAUUCAUAUGUACUUGCUCAAACUGCGAUUGCUGUUCACUAUAGGAGAGAUGUCGACAAUGCUAUAAAAACAUUCAAGCACAUAAUUAAAGAGGAUCCGUAUUGUCUUGACAAUAUGGAUACAUAUUCAAAUUUACUUUAUGUUAAAGAAAUGAAAGUAGAAUUAGCAUAUUUAGCGCAUAGAGCAACGGAAAUUGAUAAAUAUCGAUUGGAAACAUGUUGUAUAGUAGGAAAUUAUUAUAGUUUAAGAGCAGAUCAUCAGAAAGCAGUGAUGUAUUUCCACAGAGCAUUAAAACUUAACCCACAGUAUUUAUCCGCUUGGACGUUACUUGGUCAUGAGUUUAUGGAAAUGAAAAAUACUAAUGGUGCAAUUCAUAGUUAUCGUCAAGCUAUUGAAGUUAAUAGAAGGGAUUAUAGAGCAUGGUAUGGCUUGGGUCAGACUUAUGAAAUUUUAAAGAUGCCUUCUUACGGGUUGUACUAUUACAAACAGGCACAACUUUUGAGACCUCACGAUAGUCGUAUGGUUCUUGCAUUGGGCGAGGCAUACGAAAAACAAGAUAAAAUUCAAGAUGCACUCAAGUGUUAUUUUAAAGCAUGCAACGUAGGGGAUAUCGAAGGAGUAGCUUUAAUAAAAUUAGCUAAUCUAUAUGAAAAGUUGGGCGAACAUGAUCAUGCAGCUGCAGCAUAUACAGAUUUUGUAAUGGAUGAAUUUAGAAAUGCCGAUAGAACUGAAUUGAGUCAUGCUUACAAGUAUCUUACGCAGUAUCAUUUAAAACGAGAACAAUUAGAUAGAGCAAACCAUUACGCUCAAAAAUGUCUUCAAUUUGAUGAAACCAAAGAGGAAGCUAAAGGACUUUUAAGGACUAUUGCACAGAAAAGAGCAAAAGUUGAAGAGAAUUCAAUGGUGGUAGAAGAUAUGAAUGAAACUGAUCCAGUUAUAGAGCAAAGCGCAAGGACGGAUGCUACACCAGGAAAUCAAUUGUCACCCAUGAAUUUAUCCUUCACCCCUACACCAUAGUAAAAAAGAAAAGCAUGGACACACGCAAGCAUGCAUCGCACGCGAGCCAGUAUGCGCCAAAUAUGCUUAAAGUGGAACAGCUUCCUGAACAAUAUCGCGACGAGCUUCGAGAGUCUUUGGGAGGAAGAAGGCCUGGUGGACGUG